UACGGAGGGCGCAAGCGUUUCUCGGAAUUACUGGGCGUAAAGCGCGUGCAGGCGGUCGAGUAAGUCGGUUGUGAAAUCCCCAGGCUCAACCUGGGAGCUGCAUCCGAAACUGCUCGGCUAGAGGCCCGGAGAGGGAGGCGGAACUCCCAGUGUAGGGGUGAAAUCCGUAGAUAUUGGGAAGAACACCGGCGGCGAAAGCGGCCUCCUGGACGGUGACUGACGCUGAGACGCGAAAGCGUGGGGAGCAAACAGG
rnacentral:rRNA from 1 species